rnacentral:rRNA from 1 species
GCCUAAGGAUGGGUCUGCGGCCGAUUAGGUAGUUGGUUAGGUAAUGGCUUACCAAGCCGUUGAUCGGUACGGGUUGUGAGAGCAAGAGCCCGGAGAUGGAACCUGAGACAAGGUUCCAGGCCCUACGGGGUGCAGCAGGCGCGAAACCUCCGCAAUGUGAGAAAUCGCGACGGGGGGAUCCCAAGUGCCAUUCUUAACGGGAUGGCUUUUCAUUAGUGUAAAAAGCUUUUGGAAUAAGAGCUGGGCAAGACCGGUGCCAGCCGCCGCGGUAACACCGGCAGCUCUAGUGGUAGCAAUUUUUAUUGGGCCUAAAGCGUCCGUAGCCGGUUUAAUAAGUCUCUGGUGAAAUCCUGUAGCUUAACUGUGGGAAUUGCUGGAGAUACUAUUAGACUUGAGACCGGGAGAGGUUAGAGGUACUCCCAGGGUAGAGGUGAAAUUCUGUAAUCCUGGGAGGACCGCCUGUUGCGAAGGCGUCUAACUGGAACGGUUCUGACGGUGAGGGACGAAAGUUAGGGGCGCGAACCGGAUUAGAUACCCGGGUAGUCCUAACUGUAAACGAUGCGGACUUGGUGUUGGGGUGGCUUUGAGCUGCUCCAGUGCCGAAGGGAAGCUGUUAAGUCCGCCGCCUGGGAAGUACGGUCGCAAGACUGAAACUUAA